UUAAGUUCAGCGGGUAUCCCUACCUGAUCCGAGGUCAAACUAGAAGGUGGGGUUGGUUCUGGGGGGUGCCCCGGGUGGCUCGAGCGAGAGGUGUACUACGCUGAGGCCCGGGGGACACUGCCACUGCUUUUGGGCCGGGCCCCGGGGGGCGUCGGCCAAGACCUCGCGGGGCGAGAGGGGUGUAAUGACGCUCGAACAGG
rnacentral:misc_RNA from 1 species